CUGAACCAGACAAUGGGAUUGACUCCAUACCACUCACUGGUCCAGUAUCAAGUUCAAGGUGUGGUAUAGCUGAACCAGACAAUGUGAUGGACUCCAUACCACUCACUGUUCCAGUAUCAAGUUCAAGGUGUGUAUAGCUGAACCAGACAAUGGGAUUGACUCCAUACCACUCACUGGUCCAGUAUCAAGAUCAAGGUGUGGUAUAGCUGAACCAGACAAUAUGAUUAACUCCAUACCACUCACUGGUCCAGUAUCAAGAUCAAGGUGUGGUAAAGCUGAACCAGACAAUGGGAUUGACUCCAUACCACUCACUGGUCCAGUAUCAAGUUCAAGGUAUAGUAUAGCUGAACCAGACAAUGGGAUUGACUCCAUACCACUCACUGGUCCAGUAUCAAGUUCAAGUUAAACCUGUUAUAUGAGGCCAUCAAAGGGACUGGCAGAAAUUGGCGGCUUAAGACAGGUGGCUGCUAAAACCAGGCUUACCCGAAAAUCACAACCAAGUUUUCAUACAAAAAUAAGCAAUAAGCCCAGGGAGCCGACACAUACACACCGACUCAAAGUAGGGGAUUGUGGGCUUAUUACCAGGCAUGGGCUUAUUGCUGGAUUAAUAAGUAAUGGUGAGUACUUCAGCUGGCGUAUCUCCUGGGAAAUAUACUGUCCAGUAUGCUGAAAAGCAGAUGCAACAUAGAAAACAAAUGCGAGCUAGAGGUUAGCAACCAUCUACAAAACACAGACGUUUGAUAUUGAAGCAGGAGCGAGUCAUUACUCAAGGAGCUCAUGAGGCUUUAGAGGGAGUCUCGUACCAAUCUGGCGUUGGUCAUGAAGCCAAUGUUGACAUUGAGAAGUUUACCUGAUGCUGUUCCACGUGGUCAUUUCAAAGCUGUCAAACUGACAUCAAGUGAAGAACCUACAUUUAUAUCAUUUGACUUGGAAACAGCUGAUCUGAUUCGUGGGAGACUGAUGCCCCAUCCUACACAGAUAGCAGCGGUUGACCUUCAAUCUGGCA